rnacentral:lncRNA from 1 species
UCGUUAUGCUUUAUGGAUGGUUUUUUACAUAUGUGUAAAAAAUGUAUAUUUAUUUAUUGUUGCAUUGCCGUAGCAUAUUCUAUUUUUCCAAUACUUGUCAAAUCAAGUGUGUUGUAUCCAUAUCGCCUUUGUGUAUGUCCAUGCUCCACAGCUCUUGUUUUAAUUCUUACAUUGGUUUUAGCAGGGGCGGCUCAAUACAUUCUGGGGCCUAAGGCGAAUCCAAUGAACGAGGCCUCUUUUUUUAAUAAUAUUUUUUUAAUAAAUAUAAAAUACUUAAAAAAUAUAUAAAAAUAGAUAGCUAUCAAGUACACUAUUUCAACAAAGAUACAUGAAUCUAACAAAGAUAGACAAGAAGUUCAAUUUAAUAUUAUUCUUGAAUGGAAGCACAUAAAAGUAAUUACUCUAAAUGAAGGGCCAUGAAACUGAUUAAAUAACCGAGAUAAUGCUUGGCAAUACAGUUUACCAUGUCAAGCAAGAGCCGAAUAGGAAAAGGUCAUCCCAUGGCACUUCAUGGUCAAGGUAAAUAAAAGAAUUUGUCCAUAAAGGAACAUCUCUAUAACAGAAAGUAGGGUCAUUAUGGGAAAUUCACUCCAUCUAAUUAAUAAAAGUCCCAUCCCACCAUCUCCCCUUCAAGUGAGUACCCAAGCGG